GGGCCCGAGGAAAGAGAACAGAUACGGUCAGUAUGAAGGGGGAAAGUAGACUGCGAUGGCUCAUUAAAACAGUUAUAGUUUAUUUGAUACAUUAAAUGGAUAACUGUAGAAAAACUAGAGCUAAUACAUGCCGAGACCACAAGGUUGUAUUUAUUAGAUAUUGUAAUUAAGAUGAAUCAUAAUAACUUCACAAAUUCCUCGACAUCAUCGAGAUAAAUCAUCCAAGUUACUGCCCUAUCAGCUUUCGAUGGUAGUGUAUUGGACUACCCCUCCCCGCGACCCGUAACAGGGAAUUAGGGUUCUUUUCUUUUUAAGGAGCCUGAGGAACGGCCUCCCCCCUCUACGGAAGGCAGCAAGCGCGUAAAUUACCCAAUCCUGACUCAGGGAGGUGGAGAUUUUAUUUAACAACGCAAUUUCAUUGUGAUUGUAGUGAGGGUAUUCCAAUCUAACCACUAGUACGAUUAAAGGGAAGUCUGGGGGCAGCACCGCGGUAAUCCAGCUCUAUACGUAAAUAAAGUUGCUGAGUUAAAAGCUCGUAUUGAUUUCAGGAACCGAUUCUCCGGAAAGUGCCUACUACCCUUCCGCGGUCUGUGAGAAAUAAAUGUUAAGCAGCUUUGCAAAUCUUACUGAAAGAUAGUCAAUCUGGUAUUCAUUCGUAAAAACGUGGGCUGUUAAUCCAAGGAAUUGUUUUAAACACGAUUCCGGUCUUCUACAAAGAAAAAACGGCUCUAUCCAGGAGAGACUCAUUAAAUUGGGGUAUAA
rnacentral:rRNA from 1 species